GGGGGUGUGGCUCAGUGGUGGAGGGCUUGCUCAACAUGCAAAGGCCCUGGGUUCCACCCCCAGCACACCUA
rnacentral:tRNA from 2 species